UUCGGAAUAACGCUGGGAAACUAGCGCUAAUACCGGAUACGCCCUUUUGGGGAAAGGCUUGCUGCCGAAGGAUCGGCCCGCGUCUGAUUAGCUAGUUGGUGGGGUAAUGGCCUACCAAGGCGACGAUCAGUAGCUGGUCUGAGAGGAUGAUCAGCCACACUGGGACUGAGACACGGCCCAGACUCCUACGGGAGGCAGCAGUGGGGAAUAUUGGACAAUGGGCGCAAGCCUGAUCCAGCCAUGCCGCGGGGAGUGAUGAAGGCCUUAGGGUUGUAAAGCUCUUUUGUCCGG
rnacentral:rRNA from 1 species